rnacentral:rRNA from 1 species
AUGCCGGAUGCUCCAGUUGAUCGCAUGGUCUUCUGGGAAAGCUUUCGCGGUAUGGGAUGGGGUCGCGUCCUAUCAGCUUGACGGCGGGGUAACGGCCCACCGUGGCUUCGACGGGUAGCCGGCCUGAGAGGGCGACCGGCCACAUUGGGACUGAGAUACGGCCCAGACUCCUACGGGAGGCAGCAGUGGGGAAUAUUGCACAAUGGGCGCAAGCCUGAUGCAGCGACGCCGCGUGAGGGAUGGAGGCCUUCGGGUUGUAAACCUCUUUUAUCGGGGAGCAAGCGAGAGUGAGUUUACCCGUUGAAUAAGCACCGGCUAACUACGUGCCAGCAGCCGCGGUAAUACGUAGGGUGCAAGCGUUAUCCGGAAUUAUUGGGCGUAAAGGGCUCGUAGGCGGUUCGUCGCGUCCGGUGUGAAAGUCCAUCGCUUAACGGUGGAUCCGCGCCGGGUACGGGCGGGCUUGAGUGCGGUAGGGGAGACUGGAAUUCCCGGUGUAACGGUGGAAUGUGUAGAUAUCGGG